GGCUGAUACCGCCCAAGAGUUCAUAUCGACGGCGGUGUUUGGCACCUCGAUGUCGGCUCAUCGCAUCCUGGGGCUGAAGGCGGUCCCAAGGGUUAGGCUGUUCGCCUAUUAAAGCGGUACGCGAGCUGGGUUCAGACCGGCGUGAGCCAGGUCGGUCCCUAUCUGUUGUGGGCGUUGCAAACUUGAGAGGAGUCAACUUUAGUACGAGAGGAUUAGGUUGGACUGACCCCUGGUGAUCCUGUUGGGCUGCUAAGCCCAUCGCAGGGUAGCUACGUCGGGCAGGGAUAACAGCUGAAAGCAUCUAAGCAGGAAGCCCCCCUCGAGAUCAGGUUUGCUUGUCUUGUACGUGAGACCCCUGGGAGACUACCAGGUUGAUAGGCCGCAGGUGUAAGGGUUGAGAAGCCCUCAGCUGAGCGGUACUAACGGUCGAAGGUUUG
rnacentral:rRNA from 1 species